UGUGUCUCAAUUUUAUUUUUUUUUUCUCCUGUGCAGCCUCCUCAAGGCUGGCUGCAGGACUGCGCACGGUUUGGCUCCCAAGGCGAGAGGCGCCCGCAGCCCCGCCAGGCCGCUCGCCGCUGCGGAACCGCGCACGGCCCCGGCUCCGUGUGCCGCCCAUCCGCGCGCACGCGGCACCGCGCGCCCGGCCGCCACAGCAGCCGCGCUCGCCAAGAACCGGCGCGCCGGGAGCGGCAACAGCCCCUGCGCCGGGGACACGGGGGGCGGCGCGAGGGCCCGAGGCUGCGGAUCCUGGGCUGCGGAGACGGCCCGAGAUCGGAAAUGAGAACGGGAACAGGAACAGGAACGGGAAUGGGAACAGGAACGGGAACGGGACCGGGACCCGGCGGGGGCGGUGCGGGCAGCCCCGCCCCGCUCACAGCGCCGCCUCGCGGCCGCCACGGCCCGCGCAGGUCCCGCUGCGCCACGGGCCCGCCGCGGGGGAAGGGCCGGGAAGGGUCUGUGCCGCUCCGUGCUCUCCUCACCUGGCCCCCGCUCCGCUGCUGUGCCGGCCUCUUGCCCGCGCUCCCCUCUGAGCCAGGGCCGCGGCCUUGAAGCUCUCCUCGAUUUACGAAGUGCCUCUUGCUUUCGGAGAAAGCGCCUCCACAGCUCCCCGGUGUGAAGGAUGUGCCUGUCACUGCCCCACGGCUCACACACAGGGGAACAGGCGUUCUGAGGGGAGCAGAGCUGCUCCCGCUGCUCCCUGCACAAAAACAAUGAGCCCUGAGUCAGCUUCAGAAAGUUGUCUCUGUGCUGUUCCACUCAAAAGUGACAGGUACAGAGUAUCCUCCAAGAAGUUUUAAUCAACUACUCACCUGAGGGACUCUUGUUCCCAGAAAUCCCCAAUUUGUUCCUUUUUCUUACUUUACCAGCAUCAUCCUCAGCGUACAGCUGGAGGGAACCACUGAUGGCACUGCAGAGGAAACACACAGCUACUGGAAUACUUUGCUUUCUGAUCUGUGUGCACUAAAGUCUCCCAGCUGUACUCACAGCACAGGGCUGCAGCAGGCAGAAAACACCAGUCCACACCUAAUGGAAAGAUCAUUUUGGUGUUACUUUAACAAGAACUUUUUAAUAAGCACACAACACAGAGUUUGUUUGAACCGUGCUGAACUGAGGCUUACCAGGAGGAGGAGAUGCUUCUCGCUUUCCAGGACAUGGACACUUCUUUGAGAUCUGCAGACACCAAAACCUGCAGCUUCCAAUGUUUGUUGUUUUACCUUAGACAUAAAUCUGAGCAGAGUUAGAGCUGCUCAGGGCUCCGGUACUGAAGCAGAAUUCACAGCAGUGACUCAGCAGGCCCAGAUGUUUAUUUAGAGCUAUCAGUGCAAACCCAAACCCCUAAGGCAGCCACCGACAGCAUCAGACGAUGCCUCCCCUAGAAGAGAAGAAACCAGUCUGUUGCAUGAGAAGUGGUAACCCUGGCAUUGGUCUCUUACUGCCUCACUGACAUUGCAUUUCUCCAUUUUGUUCAGAAAAGAGCUACGGAAUUUAAUUAUACUGCAACAACAUCUACAGCCAAAAAAUUCAACAAAACUGGUUUAAUUUCAGAAAAUGUGUUAAAAUAUAUAUAUAUUUGUACAUCAAUUUGACACACUGCAUUAGUUUACACAAAUGAUGGUCUUUUUUGAAACUGUAUUUAUGAAAUGUACAUUUUUAAUUUAAAUACUCAGUAUACACUGCAUUUAAUCUGCAUGUUGCAUUUAUUAAAUACAUUAAAUCUGCAAUGUAACAAAACGUUUUCUGCAUACGAAAUUCAAAACACCAUUUUAAAUGAACAAAAGAUGGCUCACUUCAUUUAUUUGUUUUAACAACUAGUGCCUAGCACACUAGCUUAGCUCCACCAACACCAGCUGUUCUUUCUCUUUAUUGACAUUGUUCACAGACUAGUACAUAUUACACUAAGAGUGCUGGAUAAAAACAUGAGGUACGGAAGUGGUUCAAAGAUUACAGGUCAUGCAGAUCAUGCGAGACAGCAAAGAAAGUUGUGAAUGAGAAAACACUAAAUAAAAAAUACAUAAAGAAUGUGCAUUAUAAAAUAAAAAAAAACAAACCCAAAACAACAAAACAAAAAACCAACAACCAACUCAAUUAUACAGCUUUGCUUCUUUGGUUACAAAGUAGGUUGAACAAUUUCACAGCUUUUUAUUCCCACCCAAAAAACCAAACCAAAAACGAAAUGUCAAAAAGCAGAGGAAUCAUGGCCCCCUUCUCUCUAUUAAAAAGUAGAAACAGAAAUGAGCAAAGUUUUCUUCAUCAAAAUAGCCCAUCACUUAUUUAUUAUAUCACAAGGACUGGUGACUACCUGUACAGAUGCACUAUGGUCUUCAUACUUACACUCUAUACAAAAUUUACAUUCAAGCUGGAUCUUUACUACCGUAAAUAAAUACCAAAGGUCAAUUGCCAUUAGUGUUAGAAAUAUGCCAGGAUUCUUUGUUCAAUUAUUGCCUAGACAUUGUAUCUAUUAACGCAAUCCCAUCUAUCAUUUUACCCAUACAGA